rnacentral:rRNA from 1 species
UACGGGGGGAGCAAGCGUUGUUCGGAUUUACUGGGCGUAAAGGGCGCGUAGGCGGCGCAACAAGUCACUUGUGAAAUCUCCGGGCUUAACCCGGAGCGGCCAAGUGAUACUGUCGUGCUAGAGUGCGGAAGGGGCUACUGGAAUUCUCGGUGUAGCGGUGAAAUGCGUAGAUAUCGAGAGGAACACCUGCGGCGAAGGCGGCGCUCUGGGCCGGUACUGACGCUGAGGAGCGAAAGCGUGGGUAGCAAACAGG